AAUAAGUACAGCCAUGGGUUUCCGCGUCCAACUUUGAUCGUGCGUUUUAUUUAAAUUUUUUUUAUAAUUAGCAUUUUUAUUGUUAUAAGAUAAUAAAACAUGACUUAUGUUUUUAAAUUUUUUCAAAAAAAUUUUAAAUAAGACGAAUGGUUAAAGUUGGACGCUGAAAACCAUCGUUGUACUUAUU
rfam:Oryza barthii chromosome 1, whole genome shotgun sequence.